AGAGUUUGAUCCUGGCUCAGAUUGAACGCUGGCGGUAUGCUUAACACAUGCAAGUCGAACGGAAACGAUACUAGCUUGCUAGUAGGCGUCGAGUGGCGGACGGGUGAGUAACGCGUAGGAAUCUGCCUGAUAGUGGGGGAUAGCCCGGAGAAAUUCGGAUUAAUACCGCAUAAUCUAUUCGUAGUAAAGUGGGGGACUUUCGAGCCUCACGCUAUCAGAUGAGCCUGCGUAAGAUUAGCUAGUUGGUAGGGUAAAAGCCUACCAAGGCGACGAUCUUUAGCUGGUCUGAGAGGAUGAUCAGCCACAUCGGGACUGAGACACGGCCCGAACUCCAACGGGAGGCAGCAGUGGGGAAUAUUGGACAAUGGGGGCAACCCUGAUCCAGCAAUACCGCGUGUGUGAAGAAGGCCUGAGGGUUGUAAAGCACUUUCAAUUGUGAAGAAAAGUUAGCGGUUAAUAACCGUUAGCCUUGACGUUAACUUUAGAAGAAGCACCGGCUAACUCCGUGCCAGCAGCCGCGGUAAUACGGAGGGUGCAAGCGUUAAUCGGAAUUACUGGGCGUAAAGCGUGCGUAGGCGGUUUAUUAAGUCAGAUGUGAAAGCCCCGGGCUUAACCUGGGAACUGCAUUUGAAACUGGUAAACUAGAGUAUGGUAGAGGAAAGUGGAAUUUCUGGUGUAGCGGUGAAAUGCGUAGAUAUCAGAAGGAACAUCAAUGGCGAAGGCAGCUUUCUGGACCAAUACUGACGCUGAGGUACGAAAGCGUGGGUAGCAAACAGGAUUAGAUACCCUGGUAGUCCACGCCGUAAACGAUGAUAACUAGCCGUUGGGGGGACUUACCCUUUAGUGGCGAAGCUAACGCGUUAAGUUAUCCGCCUGGGGAGUACGGCCGCAAGGUUAAAACUCAAAGGAAUUGACGGGGACCCGCACAAGCGGUGGAGCAUGUGGUUUAAUUCGAUGCAACGCGAAGAACCUUACCUGAUCUUGACAUCCUGCGAACUUUCUAGAAAUAGAUUGGUGCCUUCGGGAACGCAGUGACAGGUGCUGCAUGGCUGUCGUCAGCUCGUGUCGUGAGAUGUUGGGUUAAGUCCCGUAACGAGCGCAACCCCUAUCCUUAUUUGCCAGCACAUCAUGGUGGGAACUAUAAGGAGACUGCCGGUGAUAAACCGGAGGAAGGCGGGGACGACGUCAAGUCAUCAUGGCCCUUACGACCAGGGCUACACACGUGCUACAAUGGGAAGGACAAAGAGCCGCGAAGCCGCGAGGUGUAGCUAAUCUCAUAAACCUUUUCGUAGUCCGGAUUGGAGUCUGCAACUCGACUCCAUGAAGUCGGAAUCGCUAGUAAUCGUAGAUCAGAAUGCUACGGUGAAUACGUUCCCGGGUCCUGUACACACCGCCCGUCAUACCGUGGGAGUGGGUUGCACCAGAAGUGGCUAGUCUAACUUAGUGAGGACGGUCACCACGGUGUGAUUCAUGACUGGGGUAAAGUCGUAACAAGGUAGCCCUACCGGAAGGUGCGGCUGGAUCACCUCCUU
rnacentral:rRNA from 1 species